UUCCUUUUAUCGUCAACCCGGAGCCCCACGGCGGCUAAUACAAGAGGCCAAAAAUGUUUGGAGGAAGAAAAACAAAGGCAGGAAGUGGCGGCAGCCUGACGGUGCGUGUGUGUCUGUGGAGAAGGGAGAGAAGGGAGAGAAGGGAGGGAGCCGGUUCAAUCUCUUCUUGUUUUUCCUAACUUCAAGGUCCAGACAG
rnacentral:lncRNA from 1 species